rnacentral:rRNA from 1 species
CCUACGGGAGGCAGCAGUGAGGAAUAUUGGUCAAUGGACGAGAGUCUGAACCAGCCAAGUAGCGUGAAGGAUGACUGCCCUAUGGGUUGUAAACUUCUUUUAUAUGGGAAUAAAAUGUUCCACGUGUGGGCUUUUGUAUGUACCAUAUGAAUAAGGAUCGGCUAACUCCGUGCCAGCAGCCGCGGUAAUACGGAGGAUCCGAGCGUUAUCCGGAUUUAUUGGGUUUAAAGGGAGCGUAGGUGGAUUGUUAAGUCAGAUGUGAAAGUUUGCGGCUCAACCGUAAAAUUGCAGUUAAAACUGGUAGUCUAGAGUACAGUAGAGGUGGGCGGAAUGCGUGGUGUAGCGGUGAAAUGCUUAGAGAUCAUGAAGAACUCCGAUUGCGAAGGCAGCUCACUGGACUGCAACUGACACUGAGGCUCGAAAGUGUGGGUAGCAAACAGGAUUAGAUACCCCUGUAGUC